rnacentral:rRNA from 1 species
ACACCCAUGUCUUUUGCGCACUUGUUGUUUCCUGGGCGGGUUCGCCCGCCACCAGGACCAAACCAUAAACCUUUUUUUUAUGCAGUUGCAAUCAGCGUCAGUAUAAACAAUGUAAUUAUUACAACUUUCAACAACGGAUCUCUUGGUUCUGGCAUCGAUGAAGAACGCAGCGAAAUGCGAUACGUAGUGUGAAUUGCAGAAUUCAGUGAAUCAUCGAAUCUUUGAACGCACAUUGCGCCCUUUGGUAUUCCAAAGGGCAUGCCUGUUCGAGCGUCAUUUGUACCCUCAAGCUUUGCUUGGUGUUGGGCGUUUUUGUCUCCCUCUUUGCUGGGAGACUCGCCUUAAAACGAUUGGCAGCCGGCCUACUGGUUUCGGAGCGCAGCACAUAUUUUGCACUCUGUAUCAGGAGAAAAGGACGGUAAUCCAUCAAGACUCUUACGAUUUUUAACUUUUGACCUCGGAUCAGGUAGGGAUACCCGCUGAACUUAAGCAUAUCA